CUGCCCUAGUAACGGCGAGUGAAGCGGCAACAGCUCAAAUUUGAAAGCUGGCCUUCGGGUCCGCAUUGUAAUUUGUAGAGGAUGCUUUGGGUGAAACGCCAGUCUAAGUUCCUUGGAACAGGACGUCAUAGAGGGUGAGAAUCCCGUAUGUGACUGGAAAUGUUAACCUAUGUAAAGCUCCUUCGACGAGUCGAGUUGUUUGGGAAUGCAGCUCUAAAUGGGAGGUAAAUUUCUUCUAAAGCUAAAUAUUGGCGAGAGACCGAUAGCGCACAAGUAGAGUGAUCGAAAGAUGAAAAGCACUUUGGAAAGAGAGUUAAAAAGCACGUGAAAUUGUUGAAAGGGAAGCGCUUGCAAUCAGACUUGUUUAAACUGUUCGGCCGGUCUUCUGACCGGUUUACUCAGUUUGGACAGGCCAGCAUCAGUUUCGGCGGCCGGAUAAAGGCUCUGGGAAUGUGGCCUUCACUUCGGUGAAGGUGUUAUAGCCCAGGGUGUAAUACGGCCAGCCGGGACUGAGGUCCGCGCUUCGGCUAGGAUGCUGGCGUAAUGGUUGUAAGCGACCCGUCUUGAAACACGGACCAAGGAGUCUAACAUCUAUGCGAGUGUUCGGGUGUCAAACCCCUGCGCGUAAUGAAAGUGAACGGAGGUGGGAACCGCAAGGUGCACCAUCGACCGAUCCUGAUGUCUUCGGAUGGAUUUGAGUAAGAGCAUAGCUGUUGGGACCCGAAAGAUGGUGAACUAUGCCUGAAUAGGGUGAAGCCAGAGGAAACUCUGGUGGAGGCUCGCAGCGGUUCUGACGUGCAAAUCGAUCGUCAAAUUUGGGUAUAGGGGCGAAAGACUAA
rnacentral:rRNA from 1 species